AUUUGUGUAGACAUGAAGCCUCCACAUAUGAACCUCUGGGAGGCUAAGUUAGCUGGAAGGCUUCAAAGCCUGAUGAAACUUUAUCUCACCAUCACAGUCACAAACAGCAGGACAGAGGAACACAGACAAUAAAGACAGUGACUCCAGCCUUUCAAAGUAAGAGUCCAUCGGGACUGUCCAGGCCUCUAAAACCAUCCCAGGUAACAAGUUGGU